rnacentral:lncRNA from 1 species
AGCUGAUGCUUCUUCUUCUUUCUCCUUCAGCCCGAGCACACACCCACGCACGCAUGGAGUAGAGAGAGAAACACCUCCACCUCUCUCUAGAUAUCUCUCUCAUCUCUCUAAAUCUCUCUCUAAAAAUUGGAGGGUUGGUGGAGAAGAUGCUUGCGAACGCGUUGGAGGCGACGGAUCGGGCUUUCGUGCGGCCGUUGGAGCGGUGUGUUGUCGUCGCGGCGUUCACAUUGAGGUAAACUUUUAGGAUUUGGCUUAAUCCUUAGUUUUAAGUGUUCUAAUAGCCUCUAAUGAGCAUUCUAAACAUGUUUGCUCUAUUUGAUUUGGAUUAUUUAGAGAUUAAUUCAUAUUAGGGCUCAAAAAUGCAAACUUUCAAAAUAUGAGGGUUUGAUCUCAUUUGACCCUUCAUAAACCUAAUUGCUAGGUAACGAAACGCGUUGGCGAAGACGGAUCGGCAAUCCGACGAGCCGUUACAAAGUUAUUAAAGAAACGGACGUUUAGGCUUCGGGUCCGCCGGGAGGGCCGAGGCGACGUCGUAAAAUCAUGGAAAUGGAUUUGAAGCACCGUGGCACGUAACCGAGGACCUAUAAUUUUCGGGGCUGCGAAGCGGAGCACGGUUGAGGCGCAGUUGCGAUAUCGGGCCGUGCCGGAUACGGGUGCCGCGGGAGGCCGAUUGCAAGUGUCGACAAGCAAUCGGAACGCGUGUUAAGGUGGGUUGUGCUUACCGAAGCGACUAGGUCGCCCUUUAUGUCUAAGAGAAAUGUAAAUUCAUAUUGAUGCAUAUAAAUGGUAGAUGAAUGCAAGAGUUAAAUGCUAGGCGAAUGCAUGUUAAUUGCUAUGCUACGACUACCAUAGAAUGCAUGAUGAACAUAUUAUAGAAAUGCUAAAUAAUGCAUGUGAGCAUAUGGUAAAGAAUGCAUGUUAAUGACAUAAUGUAAAUAUGCUUGUUAAUACAUGUAUGAUGACAUGAUGAGAAUAUGCUAGAUUACAUGCAUAUUAACAUGUUGUAGAUCAUGUGAGAAAGAUUAUGCAUGUUGGCAUCACAUAAUGCAUGCUAGAUAAAAUGUUGAUAGUUAUGGAACUCGACAUGGGCAAUUAGGAUGUCAAAUAGAUCGAGUGGCACUUAACCUAGUGUAUAAAACAUAGGUUGGACAUGAAUGACAAUGAACCUAGUGUAUAAAACAUAGGUUGGACAUGAAUGACAAUGAACCUAGUGUUAUUGAGCAUAGGUCGAGUGGCAUCUAACCUAGUGCUAAAGAACAUAGGUUAUGGAUUGAACCUAGAGUUAAGUAAACCUAGGUUAUGUGAUAGAGACGUUGAACCUAGAGUCAGUUGGACCUAGGGUGAAAAGGACGUUGGACCUAGAUAGGUCAAUACUAUAGGGUUUGAAACCAACCCUUGAGUUAUGAAAUGGAUUCCGGAAUCCCUAGUGAUGUGGCCGCACAUGGAGCGAUGGAAAUUGUGGUAAAAGAGAUGGCAAGUGAAUCCUAACUGCAGGUAUGUGUGGUUCUCCUCGCCUGGCAGUGAUUCAACGGGUAUGUGUGGUUCUCCUCGCCCGGGAUGCCAUGAGAAUAAGCUGGAAUUGGGUAUGUGUGGUUCUCCUCGCCCAUUAGCUUAUCGGAUGAUGCCGCCUAGGUUGACUUGAACCAUUGUUGGGUGAGAGCGAUGUGGUCGCUGCUAGAUGACUAAGUUAUGACUUGAACCAUUGUUGGGUGAGGUGCGAUGAGUUCGCCGCCAGAUGGCUAAGUCAUGACUUGAGUUGUUGUUGGGUGAGAGCGAUGAGUUCGCCGCCAGAUGGUUAAGUCAGAUCUGCGGUAGGCUGCGAUGGCAGCCAGUGCGCGGACUAUCCGCGGAUGAUUGACUCGAGGCCGAGUCGGGUGGUUAGCUUGAGUAGGUUAAUGAGAACCUUAUAAGCUAGUGAUCGAGGCAAGAACCUGAGGUAAUAGAGACCUCAGAAGCAAGUUGAACUUGAGUUGAGAACAUAAGGUAAUGGAAACCUUACAAUUGAAUGAAAUGACCUAAAGUAGCAAGGUAAAUGUAGAAUUAACAUAUCUACUAGUUGUUUAUGCAGUUGCAUAGUUGCAUAAUGUUCAUAUUGCAUUUGCGACGCCUAGGACGUACAGGGAAAACUCUGUCCGUUCGGCGGUCUGUCGACGCGCCCGAACUCGGCCAAAUAGGCGGGGCUCGGGGCGUGACAGAUAAAGUGGUAUCAGAGCAUAAAGUAGAGAGUGGGCAAUGGUUUAGAUGGACCUAGGAGACCCUAGGAUAGUAAACCAUAGGAGAAUAAGGCUCGUGAGAGACGAGGACUUGUGACUUAUGGCGAAAGGUUCAUUGAUUGAGUUUUGUUGAAACCUCUAUGACGGAUAUUAGAGGUAGACUCGAGGUGUGGUUUAUUCUCAACCGAGGGUGUUCAUGUUGGGUGCACACAACAUGAAACUGAGUGAUGAGAAUAGACGGCCUUGCGUGACUUUCGCCCGAUUUGAGUCAAUGUUAAAUUGUCUCGUGCUUGACCCAGAGGGUUGAGAAUUAAUUGAGUUGUCGUAUUUCAGGGAACGAUGGCACCGCGUAGGCGACCUUCGUCUAGAUCUACGCGGGAUGGGACAAGUGAUGUCCCUGAGCAAUCCGAGGCGAGCGGAGACCCGGUGCUCCGCGAGCAAAUGAGUAGGCUCAUGGGCGUAGUGCUGCGACAGGAGGAGCAGAUCAAGGAGCUCCAUGAGUUGUUGGCACGACAGACUGCGGCGGCUGCGCCGGUAGCAGCGCGCCGUGUACCGGCAGGAGUGGCGAUGGAUUCAGGGGUAGUGGCCUCUGAUUCUGUAGAAAUGGAGGCGGAGAAAGAGCGAGCUUUGACGGCCCUAAUGACCUUCAAGAAGUUUGAUUAGCCUGUUUUCGAUGGAGAGAAUGUUGAUCCAUGGAUCGUGGAGAUGUGGAUUGACGCUAUGGAAACGCUCUUUGAGGAGUUGUACACCUUGGAGCGGGACGAGGUGCCCCUAGCUGUGCAUUGCUUGAAGCAGUCGGCAAAGGUGUGGUGGAAAGGCAUUCGACGAAAUCGAUCGCCUAGUCUCCCUCCUAUGGCAUGGGAUGAGUUUCGGGGAUUGGUGUUUUCGACUUACUUUCCCGACACUGAAAAGAGAAAGCUCCAGGACAG